CCUUUCUAUACUCGACGGUGACGGACUAACGGUGUCGAAUGGCCUUGAAGUCUCGAACUUGGUUGCUCUCUUCCUCAAGCAGCAAAGCAGAAAGCCAGAAACUGUUGGUUACACUCUGGAUUCGGUUUCUGGGUUUUCACUUACAUUCUUGGUUUCACUCUUCAAGCUUGGUUAGUUGCUGAAAUCAAGCUUGCUUGAGGCCGUCAUCUCAAAAAGUUUUAUCGCUAGUUGCUG